GACGAACGCUGGCGGCGUGCCUAAUACAUGCAAGUUGAGCGAUGAAGAUUGGUGCUUGCACCAAUUUGAAGAGCAGCGAACGGGUGAGUAACGCGUGGGGAAUCUGCCUUUGAGCGGGGGACAACAUUUGGAAACGAAUGCUAAUACCGCAUAACAACUUUAAACAUAAGUUUUAAGUUUGAAAGAUGCAAUUGCAUCACUCAAAGAUGAUCCCGCGUUGUAUUAGCUAGUUGGUGAGGUAAAGGCUCACCAAGGCGAUGAUACAUAGCCGACCUGAGAGGGGGAGUGGCCAGAGUGGGACUGAGACACGGCCCAAACGCCUACGGGAGGCAGCAGUAGGGAAUCUUGGGCAAUGGACGAAAGUCUGACCGAGAAACGCCGCGGGAGUGAAGAAGGUUUUCGGAUCGUAAAACUCGGUUGGUAGAGAAGAACGUUGGUGAGAGUGGAAAGCUCAUCAAGUGACGGUAACUACCCAGAAAGGGACGGCUAACUACGUG
rnacentral:rRNA from 1 species